GACGAACGCUGGCGGCGUGGAUAAGACAUGCAAGUCGAGCGAGAUUUUUUCCUGUAGCAAUACAGGGAAAAGUCUAGCGGCGAACGGGUGCUUAACACGUGGGCAACCUGCCGAGAAGUGGGGGAUAGCUCGCCGAAAGGCGAAUUAAUACCGCAUGUGAUUAGAGAGGACAUCCUUCCGAAAUUAAAGUCGGGGCAACCUGACGCUUUUUGUGGGGCCCGCGGCCUAUCAGCUAGUUGGUGAGGUAACGGCCCACCAAGGCUUUGACGGGUAGCUGGUCUGAGAGGACGACCAGCCACACUGGGACUGAGACACGGCCCAGACACCUACGGGUGGCAGCAGUCGAGAAUUUUUGACAAUGGGGGAAACCCUGAUCGAGCGACGCCGCGUGGAGGAUGAAGGUCUUCGGAUUGUAAACUCCUGUCAUUGGGGAACAAGGUGCAUACGUUAACUGCGUGUGCAUUGAUAGUACCCGAAGAGGAAGAGACGGCUAACUCUGUGCCAGCCGCCGCCGUAACAC
rnacentral:rRNA from 1 species